CUUGGAGUGAAGCUGCUCCAAGGGGCCAACCCUGGAGAUUGUUUUAGGGAGACUGUGCAACAUUCUUGUACAUGUCUCAUUGGGGAGUUGACACAGGGCGAAAGCCGUGUGGCGAGAGGAGUGUCGUCUUUUUGAUUUGUAGAUGUCGUGAGGUGCCAUGACGAGAAGGAGUGACUCAGAGGAUCGUCCACAAGAUGGAAGCUGAGGCCUGGAGAGAGUCUUCAGGAGGAUCAGAGAUCACCUUCAGCACAGAGAGCUGUGCUACUGGGCUUCCAAAGGAUCGUCACGAGGAGACUUUGCACAGCAAAAUCUUAAAUAAGAUGAAAGAGUUUCGAUGUUGACGUUAAGGAAGACAACUACGGGGUACGACGUGCUCUGCCUUAAAUCUUCAGCAGCAUUGGAAAAUGGAACCUGAGGGAGCGUGCCAAGCUCCAAAAAGUGAUAGCGCAGAGGAGGUCCAGCGAUGGACUUGUGGUUCUGUGAACAGCACAAAUGCCAGAUGAUUCUGUUUCUCUGCAGGAGCAGAGUCUGAAGUCUGGAGAUUGGAUGUUGAUAAGGCCAUGGAGAGGAAGUGCUGGUCCAGUCCAUGAUGGAAAGGUCCCUAUCGGGUGCUGCUGACAACGACCACAGCAGUGAAGAUUGCUGGAAGGAACACUUGGAUACAUCAAGCGCACUGCAAGAAGGUGACACACAUCCAGGCCAGCUCGGAGUAAGUGGCAGGAAGACCGGGAACAAAGGGUGGGGAAAGCCUCCAGGGCCCCUCGUCUCAAUCCGGUGAAGAAACCAACUGAGCCACAGGUACUCAUCAGAAUGGCUGGGAAUGUGCUGUGCAUCUUCUUGAGCCUGUGGACCCUGAGUGGGAUGACAGGGAGCGCACUGGAACAGAGCAAACCACACCCAUGGGUUUUCAACAACUACUGGUGGCAGUUUAAGAACACAACCGCUCACAUAAAGAACGAGACCAAUGGUUAUGCUUGUGAUGCCACUGGCUACACAUUCUUCUGGACUGUGGCCAUAUAGCAUCACUGAGAGCGAGACAGUUUGUUUGGUUGCUUUAGCAACACAUCCAGGAACACUGCCAACUUUUCAACUGCUCUGAACCUGAAUGGAAGGUUGAUUCACCAGUAGCUGGGAAGGUGAACUGCUCUGGUAAGACAGACCUGCUCAUCUGACUUAAAGAAUAUCAAAAUCAAAUCAAAUCACUUUUAUUGUCACAUCACAUGUGCAGGUACAUUGGUACAGCACAUGUGAGUGAAAUUCUUGUGUGCGAGCUUCACAAGCAACAGAGUUG
ensembl:lncRNA